rnacentral:rRNA from 1 species
UACAGAGGGUGCAAGCGUUAUUCGGAAUUAUUGGGCGUAAAGCGCAUGUAGGCGGUCUAGUAAGUCUGGUGUGAAAUCCCUGAACUCAAUUCAGGAAGUGCAUUGGAUACUGUUAGACUGGAGAGUGGGAGAGGAGAGCGGAAUUCCUGGUGUAGAGGUGAAAUUCGUAGAUAUCAGGAGGAACAACAGAGGCGAAGGCGGCUCUCUGGACCAUUUCUGACGCUGAGGUGCGAAAGCGUGGGGAGCAAACAGG